AGUGAACGCUGGCGGUAUGCCUAACACAUGCAAGUCGAACGGCAGCACAGUAAGAGCUUGCUCUUACGGGUGGCGAGUGGCGGACGGGUGAGGAAUACAUCGGAACCUACUUUUUCGUGGGGGAUAACGUAGGGAAAUUUACGCUAAUACCGCAUACGACCUACGGGUGAAAGCAGGGGAUCUUCGGACCUUGCGCGAUUGAAUGAGCCGAUGCCGGAUUAGCUAGUUGGCGGUGUAAAGGCCCACCAAGGCGACGAUCCGUAGCUGGUCUGAGAGGAUGAUCAGCCACACUGGAACUGAGACACGGUCCAGACUCCUACGGGAGGCAGCAGUGGGGAAUAUUGGACAAUGGGCGCAAGCCUGAUCCAGCCAUGCCGCGUGGGUGAAGAAGGCCUUCGGGUUGUAAAGCCCUUUUGUUGGGAAAGAAAAGCAGCAGGUUAAUACCCCGCUGUUCUGACGGUACCCAAAGAAUAAGCACCGGCUAACUUCGUG
rnacentral:rRNA from 1 species